rnacentral:rRNA from 1 species
CGGAGGGUGCAAGCGUUAUCCGGAUUUACUGGGUUUAAAGGGUGUGUAGGCGGACUUUUAAGCAGGGGUGAAAUCCCGAGGCUCAACCUCGGAACUGCCUUUGAUACUAUUGGUCUUGAAUCUUGUUGAGGUGGCGAACGGGUCAUGUAGCGGUGAAAUGCAUAGAUAUGACCCGGAACACCGAUUGCGAAGGCAGCCCGCUAAGCAAGCAUUGACGCUGAGGCACGAAAGCGUGGGGAUCAAACAGGAUUAGAUACCCUGGUAGUCCACGCCCUAAACGAUGAUUACUCGACGUUGGCGAUACACUGAUCAGCGUCCAAGCGAAAGCAUUAAGUAAUCCACCUGGGAAGUACGUUCGCAAGAAUG